CUCACACCAUCGGAUGUGCCCAGAUGGGAUUAGCUGGUAGGCGGGGUAACGGCCCACCUAGGCGACGAUCCCUAGCUGGUCUGAGAGGAUGACCAGCCACACUGGAACUGAGACACGGUCCAGACUCCUACGGGAGGCAGCAGUGGGGAAUAUUGCACAAUGGGCGCAAGCCUGAUGCAGCCAUGCCGCGUGUAUGAAGAAGGCCUUCGGGUUGUAAAGUACUUUCAGCGGGGAGGAAGGUGGUGAGGUUAAUAACCUCAAU
rnacentral:rRNA from 1 species